rnacentral:pre_miRNA from 1 species
UUUGACGUUUAACCAUUCGUCUUAUUUGAAACUUUUUAUGAUUAAUUUUUUUUACUGUUAUUAGAUGAUAAAAUAUGAAUAAUACUUUAUACGUUACUAGUUUUUUAAAGUUUCUAUACAAAUUUUUUAAAUAUGACGAAUGGUCAAACGUUGGACACGGAAA